GACUGGACACCACGCAACAGACGGAUAUGAAUCCCGUCAGGUCCGGAAGGAAGCAGCGGUAAAUAUUGCCAGUCUGUGUCGAGGUAUACUCUAGUCAGA
rnacentral:SRP_RNA from 1 species